rnacentral:rRNA from 1 species
UAAACGACUCUCGGCAACGGAUAUCUCGGCUCACGCAUCGAUGAAGAACGUAGCAAAAUGCGAUACUUGGUGUGAAUUGCAGAAUCCCGUGAACCAUCGAGUUUUUGAACGCAAGUUGCGCCCGAAGCCUUCCGGAUAAGGGCACGUCUGCCUGGGCGUCACGC